GAUGAACGCUAGCGGCAGGCUUAACACAUGCAAGUCGAGGGGUAUAGUAGCAAUACUAGAGACCGGCAAACGGGUGCGGAACACGUACGCAAUCUACCCUUACCCGGGGCAUAGCCCGAAGAAAUUCGGAUUAACACCCCCAUAAAGAUAUUAGAGAGGCAUCUUUUAGAUAUUAAAAAUUUAUUGGGUAAGGAUGAGCGUGCGUCCCAUUAGCUAGUUGGUAGGGUAACGGCCUACCAAGGCGACGAUGGGUAGCUGGUGUGAGAGCACGACCAGCCACACGGGCACUGAGACACGGGCCCGACUCCUACGGGAGGCAGCAGUGAGGAAUAUUGGUCAAUGGGCGCAAGCCUGAACCAGCCAUGCCGCGUGCAGGAAGACGGUCCCUAUGGAUUGUAAACUGCUUUUAUACAGGAAGAAACCCUCCCACGUGUGGGAGAUUGACGGUACUGUAGGAAUAAGGAUCGGCUAACUCCGUG
rnacentral:rRNA from 1 species